AAGUCGUAACAAGGUUUCCGUAGGUGAACCUGCGGAAGGAUCAUUAACACGUAUCCACGUAUUAACCCAUUGUGAACUGGUUUUCAACCUUCUCCCUACAUCAUGAAGGAAUUGGAAUGAUAUGAUAUCAUAUCUAUGAUAGGAUGUUAUUUUACUAUAAUAUCUGUAUGUGUCAUAUAUCUUCAUCUUUAUGAUGACCAAUUGUAUCAUAUAUGUUAGGCAUAUUUUUGCUACUAAUGUUUAGUCGAUCUAUCAUACCGACUCAUUAGUGGUUAUAAUCAUAAACAUUUUUCACCACAUUUUUGCUAGUUGACUUUUAUAUGUUGAUUUUGAUACCUUCGCGGUAUGAUGAUCACACGUUACUUAAUUGAACGUUAAAACAAACAACUCUUAGCAAUGGAUAUCUUGGUUCUC
rnacentral:misc_RNA from 1 species